rnacentral:misc_RNA from 1 species
AAGUCGUAACAAGGUUUCCGUAGGUGAACCUGCGGAAGGAUCAUUCAAGUGAAAUAAAAUUAAAAGGAGGAGGAAUUUAAAAACUUCCUCUUUUUAAAAAAAAACCACAUCUUUUGUUAACCUGAACUCCUUGUUUUCAUAUCAGUUUUAUGUUUUUGUUGGCUACAUUUUACUAUUUUCUGAGGGGUUUAGUUCCUAGUUUUAAAUGGAACCCAAACUCUCUAAAGAAAAAUGAAAAAAGUGGCUUUAUUUACCCAGAGUUUAGUAUGAAAUUUUAUACCAACACUUUUUGUAAAAAAGUAAAUAACAACUUUUAACGAUGGAUCCCUCGGCUCUCA